UACCAGCUCUCCGAGUGGUGUGGAUGUUUAUUGGGCCUAAAGCAUCCGUAGCUGGCUGGGCAAGUCCCCUGUUAAAUCCACCGAUUUAAUCGUUGGAGUGCGGGGGAUACUGUUCGGCUAGGGGACGGGAGAGGCAGACGGUAUUUUCGGGGUAGGGGUGAAAUCCUAUAAUCCCGGGAAGACCACCAGUGGCGAAGGCUGUCUGCUAGAACGCGCCCGACGGUGAGGGAUGAAAGCUGGGGGAGCGAACCGGAUUAGAUACCCGGGUAGUCCCAGCUGUAAACGAUGCAGGCUAGGUGUUUGGGCGGCCACGUGCCGCUCUAGUGCCGCAGGGAAGCCGUUAAGCCUGCCGCCUGGGGAGUACGGCCGCAAGGCUGAAACUUAAAGGAAUUGGCGGGGAGCACCACAAGGGGUGAAGCUUGCGGUUU
rnacentral:rRNA from 1 species